UCUGACCGGUGGGCCUGAGCG
rnacentral:miRNA from 1 species